UCAUUGGCCGCCGAGCCGCGAGCAAUUCCUAUAUGAAGGGUUGCCACGGCUCGCAGGUUUUGUACUGCUCAUUAUUGUAUAAACAGA